rnacentral:rRNA from 1 species
CCUACGGGUGGCAGCAGUGAGGGAUAUUGGUCAAUGGGGGAAACCCUGAACCAGCAACGCCGCGUGAGGGAAGACGGUUUUCGGAUUGUAAACCUCUGUCCUCUGUGAAGAUGAUGACGGUAGCCGAGGAGUACUCUCCGGCUAACUACGUGCCAGCCGCCGCGGUAAUACGUAGGGAGCAAGCGUAGUCCGGAUUUACUGGGUGUAAAGGGGGCGUAGGCGGCUGUGCAAGUCAGCAGUGAAAUCCCGGGGCUUAACGCAUGAACUGCUUUUGAAACUGCAGGGCUUGAGUGCAGGAGAGGCAGGCGGAAUUCCUGGUGUAGCGGUGAAAUGCGUAGAGAUCGGGCGGAACACCAGUUGCGAAGGCGGCCUGCUGGGCUGUAACUGACGCUGAGGCACGAAAGCGUGGGUAGCAAACAGGAUUAGAUACCCUAGUAGUC